UACAGAGGUCUCAAGCGUUGUUCGGAUUCAUUGGGCGUAAAGGGUGCGUAGGCGGCGCGGUAAGUCGGGUGUGAAAUCUCGGAGCUUAACUCCGAAACUGCAUUCGAUACUGCCGUGCUUGAGGACUGGAGAGGAGACUGGAAUUUACGGUGUAGCGGCGAAAUGCGUAGAUAUCGUAAGGAAGACCAGUGGCGAAGGCGGGUCUCUGGACAGUUCCUGACGCUGAGGCACGAAGGUCAGGGGGAGCAAACGGG
rnacentral:rRNA from 1 species